AGAGGAGAGGGGAGAGAGGAGAGAGGAGAGGAGAUAGGAGAGAGGAGAGGAGAUAGGAGAGAGGAGAGGGAGGAGAGAGGAGAGGGAGGAGAGAGAGAGGAGAGAAGAGAAGAAAGGAGAGAGAGCAGGGGCAAAAGAGGAGGGGAACAGUGAAAUACACACAGAUGCUGUCAAACACACACACACAGGCACACACACACACACACAUACACACACACACACACACGCACACGCACACACACACACGCGCGCGUGUGCGCACACACACACACACACACACACACACACAGUACAGAGGCAUCCUGCAUUGAACUGUAUUGAAACUCAUUGAACUGUAUUGAAACUCAUUGAACUGUAUUGAAACUCAUUGAACUGUAUUGAAACUCAUUGGUCUGUUUUGAAAUGGGUCUGUUUCAUUGGGACUGGGAUAUUGCAACAGUAUUGGAAUCUGUGCUGUGUUGUGUGUCUCUGUGUGUGUUCCCCUGUGUUGUGUGUGUCUGUAUGUUGUGUUGUGAAUCUGUUUUGUUCUGUGAGUGACAGAGUGAGAGAGCGAGAGAGAGAACGAGAGAGAAGGGGGAGGAAGUCUGGAUACCUGGGAUAGAUAUACAGACAGACAGAUAGAUAGACAGAUAGACAGACUGAUAGAUAGACAGACAGAGCCCCACAAUCCUGUUCAGUUUGACGCUACAAUAUAAUCCCUUCUUCUUGGUGUCUGUGUUAGUUUACUACAUUCUGAAAAGAGUUUAGUUUCAUUAAAGCUGCAGACAGACAGACAGACAGACAGACAGACAGAGCCCCACAAUCCUGUUCAGUUUUGACGCUACAAUAUAAUCCCUUCUUCUUGGGGUCUGUGUUAGUUUACUACAUUCUGAAAAGAGUUUAGUUUCAUUAAAGCUACAGACAGACAGACAGACAGAGCCCCACAAUCCUGUUCAGUUUUGACGCUACAAUAUAAUCCCUUCUUCUUGGGGUCUGUGUUAGUUUACUACAUUCUGAAAAGAGUUUAGUUUCAUUACAGCUGCAGACAGACACACAGACAGACAGACAAACAGACAGACAGACAGAUAGACACACAGACAGACAGACACACAGACACACAGACACACAGACACACAGACAGACAGACAGACAGACACACACACACAGGCAGGCUCUCCAGUCUAGUACACAGUCAGGUCUCUCCGUGUGUGAGUGUCUGUGUGUCUCUCUGUCCGUCUGUCUGUGAAACCCUUCCUCCUCCUCCUCCUCCUCCCCCUCUCCCUACGUCCAACCCCCCUCCCGCCCUGCGUCCCUCCCUCCUUCUCCUCCAUCCUCUCGUUCCCCCCUUUCUGUGUCUGUCCGUUGACGUUUUUGUUUUUCUAAAUCUUAAUUUCUCGUGUCUGUCAUUUUCUAACCAAUCAAAAUUCACUCCUCCCCCCUGCCCCGCCCCCUGCCCCGCCCACUGUCAACAAGCAGUGGAAGAGAGCAUUGUGGGAAUGAGCAAGCAAAGGAUUCUGGGUGGCAGAGAAUAACAGCUGAGCAAGGGUCGAUGCCUGCCCCUCGUAGUGUAACAAAAGUAUAAGGAGGGAGCCGGAUGCGAGAAAUCCCGAAGCCUGAAUAACAUCGCGGGGAUGACGGGGAACUCCAUGAGACUGACUCCGGUCACAAACCCGCCGUUUGAACCCUACGAGGCACCGGGGCCGCUGCGCCGCUGCCGGUCCCCCAUCCCGUCCAUAUUAUAGCAUGGAUCCACGUCACCACCCCCCCAAAAAAAACAACUAAUAUGCAAACACAUCACCCCGCUGAGCAACACAAAAUAAAAUGCAAACUCCGUGAGAGGAUUUAGAUUUAGGAAGUAACUGAACGCGAAUAAGAAAAUGCUGUGAAAAAACUAUUUUAAAAUUGUUAUUAUGAAAAUUAUCAGCGCCCCCUUGAAGACUCCCCCCCCCCCCCCCCCCCGACACGCAAAUAGAAAUCUGUAAACUUAUAUUGCUUGAACAAUAUUCAGCACCAAAGCAAGGUAUUAUCAUAGCAUUAUAUACAGUGUAUGAUAUUGGACUGCAACUAAAUACAUUUCAAUGCAAAAUGAAUCCGUGCUGCUGUGAAUCAUCCAGGGGGCCAGGGGGCGCUGUCUGCUGUUCUUUGAUCUGCUUAAAAUGACUUUAAAAAAAGGAGUACUGGGGGGCGUGGCUUUAAAGGGCGUGGCCUACGCUUCCCUCUCAAACUUCUUUCCUUCCUGCUCCCGCCAGCCGUGUUGCAUCCUGGGACUUGUAGUUUUUUUCUUUCUUUCUGUGUAGGCGGUGCGUGAUGAGAUCUCUCUUCAAAAACAAUAUCUGGAUUUUAAUUUUGGAGAGAUUUAUUUGUUUUUGCUUGUUUUCGAAGACUCCAGAAUGUUUUUUUUUUUUAAAAAAAGGAGCGACGAUGGGGAAAAAAUGAACGGAAAAUGAAAGGAAGGAAAGAAAGAAAGGAUGAAAGGAAAGAUUCUUGCUCAAGAACUGGCUGAAAUGCGAGCCUUUUAUUAAUCUGAGGACGAUUCUGCCUCGAUAGCGCUGGCAAACGUUUUGUUUGUAAUUUACCAACGAAUUCCUCUAUCUCUUUGGGGAUGGGCGAUAUUUUGAAUAUCGGUUUCUUUUUGUUGUGUUUCGAUAUUGGUUUUUUAUUCGAUUUACUUGCACAUUUGUUCGAGGUGUUUGAGUUACAUUCGCUAAACUUUUAAGCAUGUCUAAAAACAUCACUACGAAAUCACAUUUCACAAACGACUGCACAGCGUUUAACUGGAUAUUAAAAACACUGAACGGAACGACCCACACUCUACAGCGAUGGCCAAAGGGUUUGCAUCACCACCCGAUAGUAUAAACUCAUUUUUUGCUGGCUGGGACUACAGCUCCCAGCAUGCCUCUGCACCCGCGGCCAUGGCGAGGCAUGCUGGGAGCUGUAGUUCUUUAUGCUGCGGUCUCCUAUCACAAGCGAUACAGACCUCUAUUACGACACAUCAUGUAAAGAAAGCAUCGCGAUUCAUCGAGACACAGUGAAUCGCUCCAGCCCUGGCUAUAGGACUACAGCUCCCAGCAUGCCUCUGCACCCGCGUCCAUGGCGAGGCAUGCUGGGAGCUGUAGUUUUUUAUGCUGUGGUCUCGUAUCACAAGCGAUACAGACCUCUAUUACCAUACAUCAUGUACAGCUAUGGCCAAAAGUUUUGCAUCAUCCCCCUCUAUUAGAAUGAACUGAUUCAGCUUCAUAGAGUCCAAUGAAAGCUGCUGAAUAAUGUUCCCUUGUUAACAUAUUGAAUUCCACCCCCUCUAUAUAGAAUGAACUCCCUCAGCUUCAUAGAGUCCAAUGAAAGCUGCUGAAUAAUGUUCCCUUGUUAACAUAUUGAAUUCCACCCCCUCUAUAUAGAAUGAACUCCCUCAGCUUCAUAGAGUCCAAUGAAAGCUGCUGAAUAAUGUUCCCUUGUUAACAUAUUGAAUUCCACCCCCUCUAUAUAGAAUGAACUGAUUCAGCUUCAUAGAGUCCAAUGAAAGCUGCUGAAUAAUGUUCCCUUGUUAACAUAUUGAAUUCCACCCCCUCUAUAUAGAAUGAACUCCCUCAGCUUCAUAGAGUCCAAUGAAAGCUGCUGAAUAAUGUCCCCUUGUUAACAUAUUGAAUUCCACCCCCUCUAUAUAGAAUGAACUCCCUCAGCUCCAUAGAGUCCAAUGAAAGCUGCUGAAUAAUGUUCCCUUGUUAACAUAUUGAAUUCCACCCCCUCUAUAUAGAAUGAACUCCCUCAGCUUCAUAGAGUCCAAUGAAAGCUGCUGAAUAAUGUUCCCUUGUUAACAUAUUGAAUUCCACCCCCUCUAUAUAGAAUGAACUCCCUCAGCUUCAUAGAGUCCAAUGAAAGCUGCUGAAUAAUGUUCCCUUGUUAACAUACUGAAUUCCACCCCCUCUAUAUAGAAUGAACUCCCUCAGCUUCAGAGUCCAAUGAAAGCUGCUGAAUAAUGUUCCCUUGUUAACAUAUUGAAUUCCACCCCCUCUAUAUAGAAUGAACUCCCUCAGCUUCAUAGAGUCCAAUGAAAGCUGCUGAAUAAUGUUCCCUUGUUAACAUAUUGAAUUCCACCCCCUCUAUAUAGAAUGAACUCCCUCAGCUUCAUAGAGUCCAAUGAAAGCUGCUGAAUAAUGUUCCCUUGUUAACAUAUUGAAUUCCGCGCAGCUUUGUAUUUUUCCGGAGACUUCACUUAACAAUUGAAAAUUGAAAAUAUAUCUAUAUUUAAUUCUGCCUCAGUUCUGAAGUUGUAGGUGAUAUAAACGUUUUGACCAGAGCUGUAGUUCUCUCUCUCUCUAUAUAUAUAUAUAUACACUGCUAUUUUUUUAAGAGAACAUUUUAAACAGUGUACAUUCUAAACGUGCGCAUUCUAAACACUGUACCUUCUAAACGUGCGCAUUCUAAACACUGUACAUUCUAAACGUGCGCAUUCUAAACGUGCGCAUUCUAAACACUACAUUCUAAACACUGUACAUUCUAAACGUGCACAUUCUAAACGUGCGCAUUCUAAACAUGCGCAUUCUAAACACUGUACAUUCUAAACAGUGCGCAUUCUAAACGUGUCACAUCACCGUAGUUUCUGUGCAAAUGUGAUAAGUAUACUGUUUAUUUUUUUUCUGAACGAUCUACAUACUCAGGUCUUGAACCCAUAUCAUAACAAUAUUACUCUCUCUCUCUAUAUAUAUAUUAAUACUUAGCUAGGUAUAGAUAACGAGAUAGAAACAUAGACAGGGAUAGAAAGCUAGUUCUAUUAAGAUUAAGGCAGUUGUUUUUUUUUGUCUAAGGCGAUAUUACUGAGAGAAAAAUGCAUUUUUAACGAUUGAGACCCUCCUCCCCUCUCCCCCCCCCCCCCCCCCCCCCCCAUUCACUCCCAUACGUCGUAGUUUUCAUAAUAAUUAAUAAUUUCUGUUCUCUUAUCGUGCACGGACUUCCAAUGCAAGCAAUAAUACAAGAUUCUAUAUGAAAUACGUUUUUAAAAAAAAUGAAAAUGUAAAAAAAUAUGUAUAUAUAUAGUGAAGGCAAAUAUAUAUAGAUAGCUAGCUAUAUUUAUAUUGGUAUAUUAUAGACUAAAGUGGGUUUACUGGACGAUUGAAUUAGAAAAUUCUCAUGAAUUCAAUGACUAACGACUAGAAGACUUUCUCAGUGUCUUCAGUGUGAAUUCAAUGACUAACGACUAGAAGUCUUUCUCAGUGUCUUCAGUGUGAAUUCAAUGACUAACGAAUAGAAGUCUUUCUCAGUGUCUUCAGUGUGAAUUCAAUGACUAACGACUAGAAGUCUUUCUCUGUGUCUUCAGUGUGAAUUCAAUGACUAACGACUAGAAGUCUUUCUCAGGGUCUUCAGAGUGAAUUCAAUGAGAAACGACUAGAAGUCUUUCUCAGUGUCUUCAGUGUGAAUUCAAUGACUAACGACUAGAAGUCUUUCUCAGUGUCUUCAGAGUGAAUUCAAUGACUAACGACUAGAAGUCUUUCUCAGUGUCUUCAGUGUGAAUUCAAUGACUAACGACUAGAAGUCUUUCUCUGUGUCUUCAGUGUGAAUUCAAUGACUAACGACUAGAAGUCUUUCUCAGGGUCUUCAGUAUGAAUUCAAUGACUAACGACUAGAAGUCUUUCUCAGUGUCUUCAGUAUCACAUCAUUUGGACUGGAAGACUUCUCAUUGAAAUGCGAUUGAAAAGGAAUUCACUAUUUUUUAUUAAUUAAUCAACACGUAGAUGGCAAUAAUUCAUAUCAGUGUCAAUAUAAUAUAUAUAUAUAUAUAUUUGCCUUCAUGUAUAAUGUUAUGUAAAUUAUGUAAAUUAGAUGCAAGGGGGCGGGGACUAUAUGCAAGUGCUGCAUGAUGAUUGGUUAUGUACUGAGCUUGAAUAGAAUGGAUUGUUUGACUCUGGAAGAGACCAUGUUGACUGUAAAA